rnacentral:rRNA from 1 species
AGAGUUGAUCAUGGCUCAGGACGAACGCUGGCGGCGUGCUUAACACAUGCAAGUCGAACGAGGGAUAUGAGAGAGCUUGCUCGAUUGUAUCCCGAGUGGCGGACGGGUGAGUAACGCGUGAGGAACCUGUCUUACACAGGGGAAUAACGCACCGAAAGGUGUGCUAAUACCGCAUAAGACCACGCCUGCGCAUGCAGGAGGGGUCAAAGGAGGAAUCCGGCGUAAGGUGGCCUCGCGUCCCAUUAGGCAGUUGGUGAGGUAACGGCCCACCAAACCGACGAUGGGUAGCCGACCUGAGAGGGUGAUCGGCCACAUUGGAACUGAGACACGGUCCAAACUCCUACGGGAGGCAGCAGUGGGGAAUAUUGGGCAAUGGGCGCAAGCCUGACCCAGCAACGCCGCGUGAGGGAAGAAGGUUUUCGGAUUGUAAACCUCUGUCCUCAAUGAAAAGCGAGAGAUGGUAAUUGAGGAGGAAGCCCCGGCUAACUACGUGCCAGCAGCCGC